rnacentral:rRNA from 1 species
UACGUAGGGCGCAAGCGUUGUCCGGAAUUAUUGGGCGUAAAGAGCUCGUAGGUGGCUUGUCGCGUCUGCCGUGAAAGCCCAUGGCUUAACUGUGGGUCUGCGGUGGAUACGGGCAGGCUGGAGGCUGGUAGGGGCAAGCGGAAUUCCUGGUGUAGCGGUGAAAUGCGCAGAUAUCAGGAGGAACACCGGUGGCGAAGGCGGCUUGCUGGGCCAGUUCUGACGCUGGAGGAGCGAAAGCGUGGGGAGCGAACAGG